AACGAACGCUGGCGGCAGGCCUAACACAUGCAAGUCGAGCGCGCCUUUCGGGGUGAGCGGCGGACGGGUUAGUAACGCGUGGGAAUAUGCCCAAAGGUACGGAAUAGCCUCUGGAAACGGAGAGUAAUACCGUAUGUGCCCUUCGGGGAAGGAUUUAUCGCCUUUGGUAUUAGCCCGCCGUUAGAUUAGGUAGUUGGUGGGGUAAGUGGCCUACCAAGCCUACGAUCUAUAGCUGGUUUUAGUAGGAUGAUCAGCAACACUGGGAC
rnacentral:rRNA from 1 species